UGGAGAAUAUUGGACAAUGGGCGAAAGCCUGAUCCAGCCAUGCCGCGUGUGUGAAGAAGGCCUUAUGGUUGUAAAGCACUUUAAGCGAGGAGGAGGGUACUGGUAUUAAUACUACCAGCUACUGGACGUUACUCGCAGAAUAAGCACCGGCUAACUCUGUGCCAGCAGCCGCGGUAAUACAGAGGGUGCGAGCGUUAAUCGGAUUUACUGGGCGUAAAGCGUGCGUAGGCGGCUAAUUGAGUCGGAUGUGAAAUCCCCGAGCUUAACUUGGGAAUUGCAUUCGAUACUGGUUAGCUAGAGUGUGGGAGAGGAUGGUAGAAUUCCAGGUGUAGCGGUGAAAUGCGUAGAGAUCUGGAGGAAUACCGAUGGCGAAGGCAGCCAUCUGGCCUAACACUGACGCUGAGGUACGAAAGCAUGGGGAGCAAACAGG
rnacentral:rRNA from 1 species